GAUGAACGCUAGCGGCAGGCCUAAUACAUGCAAGUCGAGGGGUAGAAGAGGCUUGCUUCUUUGAGACCGGCGCACGGGUGCGUAACGCGUAUGCAACCUACCUUCAUCUGGGGGAUAGCCCGGAGAAAUCCGGAUUAAUACCGCAUAAAAUCACAGGAUGGCAUUAUCCAAUGAUCAAACAUUUAUGGGAUGGAGAUGGGCAUGCGUGUCAUUAGCUAGUUGGCGGGGUAACGGCCCACCAAGGCGACGAUGACUAGGGGAUCUGAGAGGAUGGCCCCCCACACUGGUACUGAGACACGGACCAGACUCCUACGGGAGGCAGCAGUAAGGAAUAUUGGUCAAUGGAGGCAACUCUGAACCAGCCAUGCCGCGUGCAGGAAGACUGCCCUAUGGGUUGUAAACUGCUUUUAUUCGGGAAUAAACCUUAUUACGUGUAAUAAGUUGAAUGUACCGAAGGAAUAAGGAUAGGCUAACUCCGUGCCAGCCGCCGCGGUAAUAC
rnacentral:rRNA from 1 species